UACGAAGGGGGCUAGCGUUGUUCGGAAUUAUUGGGCGUAAAGGGAGUGUAGGCGGUUCGUUAAGUCUUCUGUGAAAUCUACGGGCUUAGCCUGUAACGUGCAGAGGAAACUAGCGGGCUUGAGUGUCGGAGAGGAUAGGGGAAUACCCAGUGUAGAGGUGAAAUUCGUAGAGAUUGGGUGGAACACCAGUGGCGAAGGCGCCUAUCUGGCUGACAACUGACGCUGAGACUCGAAAGCAUGGGGAGCAAACAGG
rnacentral:rRNA from 1 species